rfam:Streptococcus ratti FA-1 = DSM 20564 Contig243, whole genome shotgun sequence.
GGUUUUGAAAAAAACUGACCUAAGACAGCAGGGGAGCCGUGCUCAUAAUAUUCCUGCCGAGGCACAAAACGUAAAUUUAAAAAAACGUAUUGUACUUUCGUGUCUGGGUUUGGAUGCGAUUUUUUCUUGCAUCC